CCCUUAGAUGUUCUGGGCUGCACGCGCGCUACACUGAUACUUUCAGCGAGUCCACCACCUUGCCUGGGAGGGUGGGGUAACCUCUGGAAAGUGCAUCGUGAUGGGGAUCGAUUAUUGUAAUUAUUAAUCUUCAACGAGGAAUUCCUAGUAAGCAUGUGUCAUCAGCCCGUGCUGAUUACGUCCCUGCCCUUUGUACACACCGCCCGUCGCUCCUACCGAUUGAGUGAUCCGGUGAGCCAUUCGGACUUUCAUCAUGCUGGUUUCCAGUUUUGAUGAAGGAAAGUCUUGCGAACCUUAUCAUUUAGAGGAAGGAGAAGUCGUAACA
rnacentral:rRNA from 1 species